rnacentral:rRNA from 1 species
GACGAACCGUGCAAACGUUGUUCGGAAUCACUGGGCGUAAAGCGCACGUAGGCGGAUCUUUAAGUCAGGGGUGAAAUCCUGGAGCUCAACUCCAGAACUGCCUUCGAUACUGGAGAGCUCGAGUCCGGGAGAGGUGAGUGGAACUGCGAGUGUAGAGGUGAAAUUCGUAGAUAUUCGCAAGAACACCAGUGGCGAAGGCGGCUCACUGGCCCGGUACUGACGCUGAGGUGCGAAAGCGUGGGGAGCAAACAGG